ACGUAGGAGGCAAGCGUUAUCCGGAUUCACUGGGCGUAAAGCGCGUGCAGGCGGUUCGGUAAGUUGGGCGUGAAAUCUCCUGGCUUAACUAGGAGAGGUCGUUCAAUACUACCGGACUUGAGAGUGAUAGAGGAAGAUGGAAUUCCCGGUGUAGUGGUGAAAUGCGUAGAUAUCGGGAGGAACACCAGUGGCGAAAGCGAUCUUCUGGAUCAUUUCUGACGCUCAGACGCGAAAGCUAGGGUAGUAAACGGGAUUAGAGACCCCGGUAAUCCUAGCCGUAAACGAUGUAAACUUGGCGUCGGCGGCUUUAACUCCGUCGGUGCCGCAGCUAACGCGAUAAGUUUACCGCCUGGGGACUACGAUCGCAAGAUUA
rnacentral:rRNA from 1 species